rnacentral:tRNA from 2 species
GGGCCUAUAGCUCAGUUGGUUAGAGCAGAGGACUCAUAAUCCUUUGGUCCACGGUUCAAAUCCGUGUGGGCCCA